GAUGAACGCUGGCGGCGUGCCUAACACAUGCAAGUCGAACGGAGUCCAGCCUUAGAGACCUUCGGUUCAAAGAGGGGAAGACUGAGUGUCGGACGGGUGAGUAACACGUGGGCAACCUGGCUCAUAGAGGGGGAUAACAGAGAGAAAUUUCUGCUAAUACCGCAUAAGCACACACUGCCGCAUGGCAGAGUGUGAAAAGAGAAUCGCUAUGAGAUGGACCCGCGUCUGAUUAGCCAGUUGGCAGGGUAAGAGCCUACCAAAGCGACGAUCAGUAGCCGAUUUGAGAGGAUGAACGGCCACAUUGGGACUGAGACACGGCCCAAACUCCUACGGGAGGAAGCAGUGGGGGAUAUUGCACAAUGGGGGGAACCCUGAUGCAGCGACGCCGCGUGAGUGAAGAAGUAUUUCGGUAUGUAAAGCUCUAUCAGCAGGGAAGAUAAUGACAGUACCUGAAUAAGAAGCCCCGGCUAACUACGUG
rnacentral:rRNA from 1 species